GACAGACAUCCGGAUUUCAACUCUACUCGUCACCCUGAUCACUUUGGUAUAUAUAACCCUAUAUCUGACUCUUUUAGUUUUAGGACUUACAAACAACCGUUAUGUGAACAAAACUAUAAUACUCUCCUUAGCAACAUUGUUGCGAGAACAUAAAAAUAAUCGUUUUGUGAGCGUUCAAGUCUGUGACCUUUACAAAAUAAGAAUAUAUUCUAAAUAUAACAAUAAUAAUAACUUAUCCUGUGCAAAUAUGCUGGACUAAAUCUUUUAAUUUCAUCUUUAACAAAAGGUAUAUUCAGAACUGAAUAAAGAAUGGCUUUAUUUGUUAUGAACCAAGGCGCGUUUGUAAUUAAUCUUAGACUUUUCGAUUGGUAUCUUUGUAGAAUUUCAAUAUUUGUAUUACAAGCAGUGCCCCAAAGUUGAACACCGUAUGUCCAUAUAGGUUUUAGUAUAGGUUUAUGUAUAUAAUAGUAAUUUAUUUUCAAGAUAUAACUGCGAUGUAUGCCCAAGUAGCCAAUAUCGUUGUUUGGUUUUUA